rnacentral:tRNA from 1 species
GCCCGGAUGGUGGAAGUGGCAGACACGCGCAUUUGGCAAGUGCGUACCCGAAAGGGUGUGCGGGUUCAAAUCCCGCUCCGGGCA